UUGAACGCUGGCGGCAGGCCUAACACAUGCAAGUCGAACGGUAACAGGAAGCAGCUUGCUGCUUUGCUGACGAGUGGCGGACGGGUGAGUAAUGUCUGGGAAACUGCCUGAUGGAGGGGGAUAACUACUGGAAACGGUAGCUAAUACCGCAUAACGUCGCAAGACCAAAGAGGGGGACCUUAGGGCCUCUUGCCAUCGGAUGUGCCCAGAUGGGAUUAGCUAGUAGGUGGGGUAACGGCUCACCUAGGCGACGAUCCCUAGCUGGUCUGAGAGGAUGACCAGCCACACUGGAACUGAGACACGGUCCAGACUCCUACGGGAGGCAGCAGUGGGGAAUAUUGCACAAUGGGCGCAAGCCUGAUGCAGCCAUGCCGCGUGUAUGAAGAAGGCCUUCGGGUUGUAAAGUACUUUCAGCGGGGAGGAAGGGAGUAAAGUUAAUACCUUUGCUCAUUGACGUUACCCGCAGAAGAAGCACCGGCUAACUCCGUGCCAGCAGCCGCGGUAAUACGGAGGGUGCAAGCGUUAAUCGGAAUUACUGGGCGUAAAGCGCACGCAGGCGGUUUGUUAAGUCAGAUGUGAAAUCCCCGGGCUCAACCUGGGAACUGCAUCUGAUACUGGCAAGCUUGAGUCUCGUAGAGGGGGGUAGAAUUCCAGGUGUAGCGGUGAAAUGCGUAGAGAUCUGGAGGAAUACCGGUGGCGAAGGCGGCCCCCGGCACCAACACUCACGCUCAGCUGCGACAGCGUUGGGAGCAAACAGGAUUAGAUACCCUGGUAGUCCACACGGUAAACGAUGAAUACUCGCUGUUUGCGAUAUACGGCAAGCGGCCAAGCGAAAGCGUUAAGUAUUCCACCUGGGGAGUACGCCGGCAACGGUGAAACUCAAAGGAAUUGACGGGGGCCCGCACAAGCGGUGGAGCAUGUGGUUUAAUUCGAUGCAACGCGAAGAACCUUACCUGGUCUUGACAUCCACGGAAGUUUUCAGAGAUGAGAAUGUGCCUUCGGGAACCGUGAGACAGGUGCUGCAUGGCUGUCGUCAGCUCGUGUUGUGAAAUGUUGGGUUAAGUCCCGCAACGAGCGCAACCCUUAUCCUUUGUUGCCAGCGGUCCGGCCGGGAACUCAAAGGAGACUGCCAGUGAUAAACUGGAGGAAGGUGGGGAUGACGUCAAGUCAUCAUGGCCCUUACGACCAGGGCUACACACGUGCUACAAUGGCGCAUACAAAGAGAAGCGACCUCGCGAGAGCAAGCGGACCUCAUAAAGUGCGUCGUAGUCCGGAUUGGAGUCUGCAACUCGACUCCAUGAAGUCGGAAUCGCUAGUAAUCGUGGAUCAGAAUGCCACGGUGAAUACGUUCCCGGGCCUUGUACACACCGCCCGUCACACCAUGGGAGUGGGUUGCAAAAGAAGUAGGUAGCUUAACCUUCGGGAGGGCGCUUACCACUUUGUGAUUCAUGACUGGGGUG
rnacentral:rRNA from 1 species